rnacentral:rRNA from 1 species
AGCUCCAAUAGCGUAUAUUAAAGUUGUUGCGGUUAAAAAGCUCGUAGUUGGAUUUCUGUUGAGAAGAACCAGUCCGCAUUUUGUGCGUGUAUUUGGUUUCGUCUUGGCAUCCUUUCAAGGAACGUUUCUGUGAUUCAGUUCAUGGAGCGGCACUUUGAAACUUUUACUUUGAGGAAAUUAGAGUGUUCACGGCAGGCAAUCGCCUUGAAUAUAUUAGCAUGGAAUAAUAAUAUAGGAUCUUGGGUCUAUUUUGUUGGUUUCUAGAGCUAAGAUAAUGAUUAAUAGGGACAAUUGGGGGCAUUCGUAUUAACACGUCAGAGGUGGAAUUCUUAGAUUGUGUUACGACGAACUACUGCGAAAGCAUUUGCCAAGGAUGUUUUCA